UUAAUGAGGCGAACCGGGGGAACUGAAACAUCUAAGUACCCCGAGGAAAAGAAAUCAACCGAGAUUCCCCCAGUAGCGGCGAGCGAACGGGGAGGAGCCCAGAGCCUGAAUCAGCAUGUGUGUUAGUGGAAGCGUCUGGAAAGGCGCGCGAUACAGGGUGACAGCCCCGUACACAAAAGCGCAUGUGCUGUGAGCUCGAUGAGUAGGGCGGGACACGUGGUAUCCUGUCUGAAUAUGGGGGGACCAUCCUCCAAGGCUAAAUACUCCUGACUGACCGAUAGUGAACCAGUACCGUGAGGGAAAGGCGAAAAGAACCCCGGCGAGGGGAGUGAAAAAGAACCUGAAACCGUGU
rnacentral:rRNA from 1 species